GCAAACUUGGUCAUUUAGAGGAAGUAAAAGUCGUAACAAGGUUUCCGUAGGUGAACCUGCGGAAGGAUCAUUAUUGAUUGUGAAUCGUUGCCCUCUGUGCUGGCUGGCUCCUCCGGCAAGUGCACGUUGGUGACUUUCAUCCAAACACUUGUGAACCUUUGGCCUCUUGCUGGCUUUGGCCAGUGGAGGAUUUUACACACCCACUCGAAUGUACUGAGAAAUAUUCUUGUGCGCAAGCACUAUUGUACAACUUUCAACAACGGAUCUCUUGGCUCUCGCAUCGAUGAAGAACGCAGC
rnacentral:misc_RNA from 1 species